rnacentral:rRNA from 1 species
CAAUAGCGUAUAUUAAAGUUGUUGCAGUUAAAAAGCUCGUAGUUGGAUUUCUGGUAGGAGCGACCGUUCCGAACUUGAUUGUUCGUGUAUUGUGUUUUCUCCAGCCAUCCUUGUGGAGAACUUUUCUUGCAUUAAUUUGUAGGGAUUGGGACCCGCAUCGUUUACUGUGAAAAAAUUAGAGUGUUUAAAGCAGGCAAUCGCUUGAAUACAUUAGCAUGGAAUAAUAAGAUAGGACUUUGGUACUAUUUUGUUGGUUUGCAUACCAAAUUAAUGAUCAACAGGAACAGUUUGAGGAUAUUCGUAUGAACAUGUCAGAGGUGAAAUUCUUGGAUUUUGAUCAGACGAACUACUGCGAAAGCAUUUAUCAAGGAUGUUUUCAUUAA